rnacentral:rRNA from 1 species
UACGGGGGGGGCAAGCGUUGUUCGGAAUUACUGGGCGUAAAGGGCUCGUAGGCGGCCAACUAAGUCAGACGUGAAAUCCCUCGGCUUAACCGGGGAACUGCGUCUGAUACUGGAUGGCUUGAGUUUGGGAGAGGGAUGCGGAAUUCCAGGUGUAGCGGUGAAAUGCGUAGAUAUCUGGAGGAACACCGGAGGCGAAGGCGGCUCACUGGGGCUUUUCUGACGCUGAGGAACGAAAGCCAGGGUAGCGAACGGG